AUACUGACGUAAUCGCUGCACAGUCAUCUGUGUAGAGGAAAGUCCAUGCUCACACAGACUGAGAUGUCUGUAGUGUUCGUGCCUGACGAAAUCAUAAGUCAGGGUACUAACGGCAGCAAAAAAUCCUACGUUCAACUGAAUAUGGAUGAGUAUGCUUGAAAGUGCCACAGAGACGCAGCUAGAUUGGAAACAAUCUAGGUGGAACGAGGUAAACCCCACGAGUGAGCAACCCAAAUAUUGGUAGGGGCAUCCUUGAGUAGAGAAUUCAAUCGAAAAAGGGACGAGCAAUUUGGCUCGUAGAUAGAUGAUUACGACCAGAGUACGAGGUUGACAACCGUCUGUAGUACAAUGGUACAGAACAUGGCUUAUCAAG
rnacentral:RNase_P_RNA from 1 species